rnacentral:rRNA from 1 species
GCCAACGUCCAUACCACGUUGAGCACACCGGUUCUCGUCCGAUCACCGAAGUUAAGCAACGUCGGGCGCGGUCAGUACUUGGAUGGGUGACCGCCUGGGAAUACCGCGUGAUGUUGGCUUUU